GAUGAACGCUGGCGGCGUGCCUAAUACAUGCAAGUCGAGCGAACGGACGAGGAGCUUGCUCCUCUGACGUUAGCGGCGGACGGGUGAGUAACACGUGGAUAACCUACCUAUAAGACUGGGAUAACUUCGGGAAACCGGAGCUAAUACCGGAUAAUAUACUGAACCGCAUGGUUCAAUAGUGAAAGACGGUUUUGCUGUCACUUAUAGAUGGAUCCGCGCCGCAUUAGCUAGUUGGUAAGGUAACGGCUUACCAAGGCAACGAUGCGUAGCCGACCUGAGAGGGUGAUCGGCCACACUGGAACUGAGACACGGUCCAGACUCCUACGGGAGGCAGCAGUAGGGAAUCUUCCGCAAUGGGCGAAAGCCUGACGGAGCAACGCCGCGUGAGUGAUGAAGGUCUUCGGAUCGUAAAACUCUGUUAUUAGGGAAGAACAAAUGUGUAAGUAACUAUGCACGUCUUGACGGUACCUAAUCAGAAAGCCACGGCUAACUACGUG
rnacentral:rRNA from 1 species